AAAAAAAUAGGGAAAAGCCGGCUAUCGGAAUCGAACCGAUGACCAUCGCAUUACAAAUGCGAUGCUCUAACCUCUGAGCUAAGCGGGCCCACAUCACAGAAAUCUUAUAUGCAUAGUAAUUGACUAAACUACUGGAAUUGGAAUCUUAGUUAUUAACUAGUCAAUAUUCUAUUGAAUAUUCUAGAGCAUAAGGAUUAAUAUAGCGAUCUAGAAUUUCGAUUUAUCACAAUUCUAAUACUAAUAUUAUUAAAUAGUGAUUGUAAAUAUUGUUAAUAUUCUUUGAUUUUCAAUUUGAAUUGAAUGGUAAAUAUUCUUUUUUUUUCAUUUCUUUUUUUGGCAUUUGAAAUACUUUUUAUUACAGUUCUAUAUUAUAUUCUAUAUUUGUAUAUUAUAUUCUAUAUUAUAUAUAUCUCUCAUUCUAUAUUUAUUUCAAAUUCUAAUUGUUUAAUGGAAUGGUUAGUUAUAACUAAUGAGACAUUCCUCGGCUUUCAGGGGAAAGUGAAGAUAAAAAACAAGAAUCGAUCGUUCAAGUAUUCCAAAUUGAAUGGCAAAAUGACAGGAAGCGAGACAUAUAGAUCGGGUAUAUAUCCAUCUAUAUUGAAUUGCGGAUUCCGAAAUGAUAAAAUCAUUUUUGAUUGGACAAAAAAAGGGUCUCCUAUAGAAGAUAGUUAAUAAAAUCAAAGAGGAGAAAACGCGUUUUCGAGAUAGGAAUCGGUAUCUAAUGAAUUCAAUGGUUCCAGUAUAAAUGAAAGAAAAAUAAAAAGGAAUGAAAUCACAACGAGAUCCUAAUCUCAAAACAAAAAGAAAGGGGGAUAUGGCGAAAUUGGUAGACGCUACGGACUUAAUUGGAUUGAGCCUUGGUAUGGAAACUUACUAAGUGAUCACUUUCAAAUUCAGAGAAACCCUGGAAUUAACAAAAAUGGGCAAUCCUGAGCCAAAUCCUGUUUUCUGAAAACAAACCAAGGUUCAGAAAAAAAGGAUAGGUGCAGAGACUCAAUGGAAGCUAUUCUAACAAAUGGAGUUAAAUGCGUUCGUAGAGGACUCUUUACAUCGAAACUUCAGAAAGAAAAAGAAUGAAGUGAAGGAUAAACGUAUAUACAUACGUAUUGAAUACUAUAUCAAAUGAUUAAUGACGACCCGAAUCCGUAGUUUUUCUAUAAAAAAUCGAAGAAUUGGUGUGAAUCCAUUCUACAUUGAAGAAAGAAUCGAAUAUUCAUUGAUCAAAUCAUUCACUCCAUAGUCUGAUAGAUCUUUUGAAGAACUGAUUAAUCGGACGAGAAUAAAGAUAGAGUCCCGUUCUACAUGUCAAUACCGGCAACAAUGAAAUUUAUAGUAAAAGGAAAAUCCGUCGACUUUAAAAAUCGUGAGGGUUCAAGUCCCUCUAUCCCCAAAAAGACUAUUUAACUCCCCAACUAUUUAUCCGACCCCCUUUCCUUAGCGGUUCCAAAUUCCUUAUCUUUCUCAUUCACUCUAUUCUUUUAGAAAUGGAUUUUUUUUCUAAGCGUAAAUGGCUUUCUCUUAUCACAAUUUGAUAUCUAUGAUACACAUAGAAAUGAACAUCUUUGAGCAAGGAAUCCCUAGUUGAAUGAUUCCCGAUCAAUACAAUAUCAUUACUCAUACUGAAACUUACAAAGUCAUCUUUUUGAAGAUCGAAGAAAUCCCCCGGCUUUGAUAAAAUUUUUUAAUCGACUUUUGUCCUUUUAAUUGACAUAGACCCCAGUUAUAUGAUAAAAUGAGGAUACUACGGAAAGGACUCUAAAUCCUCAUGUUAGCGGUUCCAAUCGAGAUUGGGAAUAGCCGGGAUAGCUCAGUUGGUAGAGCAGAGGACUGAAAAUCCUCGUGUCACCAGUUCAAAUCUGGUUCUUGGCACAUGAUUAAUUUGUAUGGGUCUCUCUUCCCUAGAAUGAAUUUCUAAUUAAUUGAUAUGAAUCCACAUACAUAUUUUUUAUAGUCUAGAUUAGAAUAAUAGCUUUAUCCAGUUUAGCGAGAUAUACCCCAUCUAGAACAUAGAUGGGUAGGGUUUCUUAGAUAAAGUAUCUAAAAGAAUUGGAUUCUAUCUCCUCUUUUUUUCUCCUCUUGUUCAAACGAAUUUGAAUACGUAAUACAUAUUAGAAAGGUAAAAUUAGUUAAUUGUGGAAAGGCUCAAAAGUAGAAUCCGAAUCUAGGGGGGUUGAAAUAGACAAGAUUCAGCUCAGAUCCAAAGAAAUAGAAUCCGAUAUUAUCUCAUUUCUUUGGCUUUUCUUUCAUAUUAAAUUUCUUUAUUCUCGAUUUCUCCAUUCCUUCCUAUAUGCCUUUCUAGAACCCGUCUAAGUAAUGUGCGCAGUACAAAGUUCAUGAUGCAGAACUCAUUUGGUUCAUCCUAUUGGUGUGACCCAUCCGAAAGAAGUAUCUUCCAACUAAAUGUGAGAAUUCCAAUGAAUCCCUAAUUGUCUUUUGUUGUUAGACUUAAUCUAUAACAAAACGUGCAAUCCUUGAAUAUCUGAAAUUGUCUAAGUGGAAA
rnacentral:lncRNA from 1 species